rnacentral:rRNA from 1 species
GAUGAACGCUGGCGGCGUGCCUAACACAUGCAAGUCGAGCGCGAUUAAGUGGAGUGAGGACUUCGGUCUAAGUGAAGCUUAUGAAAGCGGCGGACGGGUGAGUAACGCGUGGGUAACCUGCCCCAUACAAAGGGAUAGCCACUGGAAACGGUGAUUAAUACCUUAUAAGUCGGUAGUCUCGCAUGAGACAGCCGACAAAGAUUUAUCGGUAUGGGAUGGACCCGCGUCUGAUUAGCUAGUUGGUGAGGUAACGGCUCACCAAGGCGACGAUCAGUAGCCGACCUGAGAGGGUGAUCGGCCACACUGGAACUGAGACACGGUCCAGACUCCUACGGGAGGCAGCAGUGGGGAAUAUUGCACAAUGGGCGCAAGCCUGAUGCAGCAACGCCGCGUGAGUGAUGAAGGCUUUCGGGUCGUAAAACUCUGUCCUAUGGGAAGAAAAAAUAGACGGUACCAUAGGAGGAAGCCCGGCUAACUACGUGCCAGCAG